ACCCCUCUCCCUCUAUAAAAACCCCCUAGCCGGCCACCCCUCCACCUUUGGCCCUCAUUUAUCUUCUCUCCACUCCCUCACACUCUUCCCCUGCCCUCCACCACGAGCUGCUGCUCCUCCUAGCUCCAUGGCCGGCCAUGGCCAUGGAAAUCCACCAAGAUGAAGCUCCCCUCCUUCCUCAAGCUCAUCCUCACCAUGAGAGCAUCUCUCUCACUCUCUUCUCCCCUAACCUUUGAUGAAUCCAGCUCCUUUUCCCUUCUUCCCUCUCACAAGAUUGGAUCUUGAUGCAGGUGCAUGUUGGUCCAAGCAUGGAGAAGGUUGAGCAAUCCUCAGAUCUGAAACUCUUGAGCAAAAUCCAAAUCGAGUGAUUCAAAGUUCUACCGAUAGGUAUUGAAAAGAUCUACAACUUGGCGUUGGUCUCAUCCUCAAAUUCGUUACGGAUUUUGCUUGAUCAAGAUCUGGUCAGAUCUGACUUUGUCGAAUUAAACCAGGAGCUUGGAAACGAAUUUUUGAAUGAAACCAGUUGGGGGAUAAUUGGUUUAUACCAUGGUGAUAACCGAGAGAGGCAAUUGCUACGUUAUGAUGCACUCAUGCCUCUACUAGAUGCGAACAAUUCCGGAGAAGAAGAAGAAGUGGAACCGGACGAGGAUUUUAUUUAUGUCGUUGGGAUUUUUAUAUUGAUGAAGUUGAAGAAGUACAGGGACAAAUAAGCCAAGGCAAGCUAUCUUUGAACUCUGUUUGAUGCCGUGUUGGAUGUCAUUUGUUGAUGUCCCGAAGCAUCUUAUUUCCAUGUGUGUUGCUCUCUCCAUAUUUGUUGUCUAUGUAUGGUGUAAUUGGGGUACUCCCUCAUGGUGUUAUCCCACCCUUGAUCACAUGUUGGAGGGAUGCAUGGCAUCAUGGCCGUGUUGUCCCCUUUGGUCUUAUUGUAUGCUCAACAUGGGCAUAUCCUUUUCCAAGAUAAAAGCUUGCUUCACAUUCACCACUUGGGUGAUGUCUAGAGGUGUCAAAGUCAUGAAUCUUGGUGUAAUUCUCAACUUGAGAGAAGUAUGCCAUGUACCCAUGGGAAAAUAGGUUGGAUAGUGAUACUCCACUAUCUAACUUGUACAUUUAGCACCACCAAUAUGAAAAUGAUUCCUCCUAUGUUGUCUUUAUACAUACAUACCUUAAGCAAGUAUACUUCCAUUUGAGCCACUCACACCUACUCCUCAUGGCGUGAUGAUCCUCAUCUCGGCCAUGUUGUGUAUUAGUUCCUUCUCAUGAAACUAUAGGUUGGGAACCCCUCAAGGUUUACCUUGUUGUAAAUGUUUAUGAAAACCUUGGGUGAGUUAACCCAAGUGUAUGGUUUAUGAAAGCAAAGGAUCUUGAUAAAGAUGUUUGGGAAAGAUGUGUAUGUUGGUUGGUUGAGCAACCGUGGUGUUGUGGGAAAAAGGAAAAAGGGGUUUGUAAAAAGGAGCACUGCGUAUAAGUGUUCGCCGUCCCAACUUUUAAUCGCGCAACCACAUUAUCCAAAGUGGGCAUGGGCUUAGUCCGUAGUUCGUUGAGAUUGGCAUAAGCACCCUUCACAACUCUCUAGGGAGGGUCAAGAUGACCUCCGACGCCGGGUUGCGCUCUGGAGGAGGCAAUACACUGUCUAGACCGAUAGCCGGACGAUUACUGAGGGUCUUCCGACGUGGCGCCGGAGAUACGCUCAAAAGGAGGUAUGCUGCCGGGGUGCCGGGAAGGGGUAAGCCCGCAGGGAAGGACUUGUGCCAAAGGAGACGGGCGAAAGAUUAUGAAUGGUUAUCCGAGUCUCGCAUACUUUUGUAUGACGAUCCGGGGAUGAUCCCGGCGGAUUUAUCAGUUCUUGUGGGGAAAGUGCGCACACUCUGCAGAGUCAAAUCUAUUCGAAUAGCCGCGUCCGCGGUCAUGGACAAGUUGAGAUAGCCAUACUUAACCGGGGCUUGCAUUUUGUUUUUGAACAAAUGAUUUGCAAAGGAAGUGUUGUGUUUAUGUGUACCGGAAGGGUACGGAAAAAGGGCGUGUGUUGACCAUAUGGAGAUGGUCGUGGAAAAAUGAAGGCUAAGUGGGGAACUCUUUCCUAAAUGUUUCUUGAAGAGGAACUCUUCUUUAACAAAGAUAUAGAGAUGUCAUAAGUAUCUUUUGAAGUAUCUUCUUCAAUAAAGAUAUAGGUAUGUCAUAGGAAUCCUCUAGCAUUUCCAUCAACUGAGAUGGACUUAUGCUACCUCAUCUCCAAUAAAAGUAUAGAUAUGUCAUAGAACUUCCUAAGCGUCCCCAUCAAUUGAGAUGGCGGCAUGCUAUGUCCACAAGAGAAACUGACGCUCUUGUGCAUGCUAUAUCCACGAGAGAAACUAUGUCUCUUCCACAUGCUAUAUCCACAAGAGAAACUGAUUCUCUUCCCCCUGCUAUUUCCACUAGUGAAAUUAGCUCUUCCCUCUUGUCAUCGUAGAUUAGCACUUGUUAUCUUGCACUCUUGCAAAGUACCUUUCUUGAUGGUUUGCGAGUACAAUUCCAAAUGUACUCACGGCUUUGUCCCUGGCUAUUUACUUGGCCAGACUUGGAAGAACACGAUGGAUGAAGAAGGAGUUGGCGACGUCUAUGCGAGCUAGGAACGUCUUCCCAGUCAGUUGCCUGUAGGGUUAUGGCAGAUGACUUGGGUACUGCGCUGCUGAAGUGAUGAUGCUACUCUGAUGUUUAGUUAGGCCCUUCGAGGCUAUUAUGUAAGUAUUGGUCAAUGUGACCAUGUUGUAAUUUUCUUAUUCCGCUUUGUAAUGGAUGGUGUAAUUUGAUAUCAGUUCGGUUAUGUGUUCA